UGAAAUAAACAACUCUUUCGAUGUUUCAUUUUGUGAUUUUCUUCAUAUUUAAACACUCGUGAAGUGUUCUAGAAUCAUUUCUAUGCGUUUCCUUCAGCAACUUGAUGCUGGUAAACGACUUUUUCAUGAAAAUUCUGCAAAAAGAAAUACGAAAUGAGCUUGAUUCCAAUCUUUCGGAAUUGCUAAUACUAGAAGAAGCAAGGCAUACAUGUACAUGUACAAUACAUGAUUCUCUGUAGCAACUGGAUUGUCUAUUCACCACAACAAUUUUAUAACAGCAAUGAAACUCUAGACUACUACAUGUAUGGUGUUAUGAAGAUAUUUACAUGUAUAUCUACAUAUAUAAUUAAUUUUGAAGAUUGUUUAUGCCAAGGGUCAUCAUGUCGACUAGUCCGACAAGUUUUGGUUCAGCUUUCUGACAGGAAUUAUUAUAAACUUGCCAGCAGUUACAACACAUGAAUAUUAUUUGUUAUUAAGUGUGCCUAUCGGUCUAGCAAUUUUUAGAGACUGUUUAACGAUACUCUCAGAACUAUGAUCAUGAUAUGUGAUCAUAUGUCAGAAUCUGUGUAACUGUUACUACAAAAGGAGAUAUAUUAUUGUGCACUAAGAAGUAUUCCUAGUUAUCAGAAACUUUUUACAUGAAGUUUUAUAUAAAGAAAGUUGGAAUUCAUGAUAUUGAUGCAUUGUGCAGAAACAUGAAAUAUUUUAGUUUGUUUUCCUAACAGUCCAAGAGUAAGGUUAAAUUAUACCAAGGAGAAUUACUUAUUACCAUAAUUACGCAGCAGUAUUUUGAUCGUGGAUUCUUUUAAAUUUUAUUAUUUAUUGAA